rnacentral:rRNA from 1 species
UACGUAGGGCGCAAGCGUUGUCCGGAAUUAUUGGGCGUAAAGAGCUCGUAGGUGGCUUGUCACGUCGGGUGUGAAAGCUUGGGGCUUAACUCCAGGUCUGCAUUCGAUACGGGCUGGCUAGAGGUAGGUAGGGGAGAACGGAAUUCCUGGUGUAGCGGUGAAAUGCGUAGAUAUCAAGAGGAACACCAGUGGCGAAGGCGAGUCCCUGGACAACACCUGACACUGAGGCACGAAAGCCGGGGGAGCAAACAGG